UCCAUUAGAAAUACUUUGUUGGAAAACACAUAGCCUACCUACAUGAAAGAAUACUCUUUCAGUUUUUCAUGUCAUUUGCUACUUACUUUCUCAUUCAAUUAUUAUAAUUUAACAAUUCAAGUUGUCCUAUCAAAGUACUAUACUACAUCAUAAAUAGACAUAAACUAUGUAUACUUGUUAAUUAUUGGGCAAACAUGAGAUUCUACAAUAAUAUUUAGACAAUUUGGAACUAAAUUAGGAGGUUGAAAAAGUUUUGGGCAAUAGCCCAAACUUUUUUUCUUUCCCGAUCUUUGUAUUAUUUAAGCUAACCUAAUAAAUAAAUAAUAUCUAACGGUUUCAUGUAGGAUAUUGAUUAAAUCCAAAUCUCAAAAUCCAUAGAAGUUGGCUACAAUUUGCUAGCAAUAAAUAAUUCGCUUUAUUAAAGACCUACUAUCCACGAAUGCAACAUAUUAUUAAAACUUCCUUCAAUUAAGAUUUCUUAAUUCUUUAGUAACUAGCAAUAAAAUGAGUAAUGGAAUAUCAUAUAAUAUUUCUUAUUUAUAUAAGAACUAAGUUAUACAUUUCUAUUACAACUGAAGUGAAAUGUAGAAAUUUUGUUUGAUCAUAAUUUAGUGAUCGUUUAUUUUUCCUACUCAAAUUUUUAAUUAAGUUUUUAAAUUAAGUUUACAGAGAAUUAAAAUUUUUGUUUGCUAUGCACAAACUUAUAUCAUUGGCAUACAUACAAAAUUUGUUAUCAAGGACUCAUUUUGGAAACUCCCCCUUCCCACCAAUAGAUUUAUUGUUUUUGUAUUAGACUAUGUUAUUUUAAUAUGUAUUUUGGACACGAUCCAUCCGUGAAUGCAUGGGCAUUUACUUUGUGAAACGAGAAGCGCUCUUAGAAAGAUUAUUAUUAUUAAUGUACAUUAUUAUUUAAUUUUGUAAUAAUUAGAAGUUUUAUUUUUAUCGAUAAUACGGCGCAUUCUCACUGACCUCUUGUUGAAACUAAUGUAUGGCUGGUGAACAAUAUAAUAUCUAGUAUCAGGUCUGUUUUUUUUCAGUAUCAACCUAUCAAAUCUAAUCUACUCAAACAAUUUUUCUAAAAUUAAUGCUGAAUCUUUUCAUUGAGUUUUUAGAGAAUUUAAUAUAUUGUCUACUAUGCACAAACUUCUAUCUUCAGCAUACAUACAAAAUUUGGUAUUUUGAUAGCAUCGAGGACACAUUUUGGUAAACACCGCCCUUCCCCCACCAAUAGAUUUAACCUUUGCUAUUUGAGACUAUUGAUAUUUAUUCAAUUAUGACUAUUCAUUGUUAUACCCUAUGUAUUUAGGAUACGAUCCAUUCAUGGAUGCCUAGGCAACGUGUAACGAGAGGCGCUCUAAGAAAGAUUAUUAUUAAUAAUAAUAUUGUACAUUAUUAUUUAAUUUCGAAAUUUUCUCUUUUCAGAUAAUGUAGCACAUGCUCACUGAUAUCUUGUUGAAACUUGCUGCUGGUUGAAACUGAUGUAUGUCUGGUUAACAUUUUAUCAAGUAUCAGAAACGCAAAGUGCCAGUAAUAUCGGCCCCCUCAUUACUGCUGAGUAACCGAGAAAGCUUUCCAAAAGACAAAGUUGUUCAACGACAACAAAACAUGUCACAAAGUCCGCAUCGUAGUCGGCUCAUCGUGUGUGUUGGUUUUCAUACUGCAUUUAAGAAACAUUCUAAUAAAAAUAUCAAAUAAUAACAUUGUUAUUAACGUAGACAUUAUGCAAUCUGUUUAUAAAAUGUAAUCUAUUCUAUUUUGUACUUUACAAGAUACCUAUAAUUCUAUUCGUGUUCAUUUGUGCUUUAAAUAACAACGUUAAAUUCAAAAUUGUAGUAGAUACAUUUUUUUGUACUCAAAAUAGUGUGUGAAUUAACUUAUCAUUUACAUAACCUUUAGACUAUGUAUUCCAAUAAUUGAGGUUUAGAACAGUUUGGGGUGAAUGCCUGUUGUGUUUACCUUAAUCGUAUUUGUAUAUAAAUAAAUUAUGGUAGUAAUUAAUUUAGUAUAUAAUCCCCUGGGCACAAUAGUGUGAAAUGCGACGGGAGCGUGAAAACAUUUUAGCCAUGGUUGAAAUUUUUAGAACAUCAAAACCCAAUCGAUGUCUAGGAAAGAUUGUGGUAUCUGGAAAGAUUUUGAUUGCUUACUGAAUGUUCAGAAGAUAAAUUAUGUUUGUCAGUUUUCAGCGAAAUUGUUAAUAUUUCAUUUUAUCGAUAGUGUAGUGAGAAAUCAUCAAAAUUUUCUUCGGAAGAAUUCGUUAGUAUUUUUAUGAUCUACAGCUCAAAAAAUGUCGCGCGCCGAUAGUUCGAUUCAAAUUUCCCACUUCGACUAGCAUUGGCGGCGCUCUUCGCAAUUGGCCAAACUUUCGCGCCAAGGCAAAUGAUUCGUCGGCCGUGCAGGCAAGUCGCCGGGCUAUUAUAUUCAAUUUGGAUACGGUUUUAUCAGAGUAAUAGUUCAGAUACUAUAAAGCAGCCCUUUUAUUCUUAUAGUUAUUGUAAUAUUGGAUAUCACAACACUUAUUCACUCCAUUUAUUACUAAAUAAGACAUAUUGAUUAUCAAUUCAAAUUUAUAUUAUUAGUACCAUUUCCAAGAUUACGUAUUGAGAGUGUUUAUCUCAACUUAUUAUGUUGUAUCCUCACAAUUUUCGUUCCGAGAAGUUCAACCUUCCUUCUUUCUCUUUCUUCUUCAGUUUCUUCUCCCUUCAUCAUCAUCAUCUACCUUUUUCUGAUUCCUGUUUCCUCCUUUCUCGUUCUUCUUCCCUUCGGUUUUUUUGGUGUCUUCUCGUUUCCUCCUCAUGUCUCUUUUUCUGAUUUCCUUCUUCUUCUUAUCUUGAUCUCCCCUUUCUCCUCUUUCACAUUUCUUCUCCUCCCGUACAAGCCAGCUUGGUACUCUUCUAUAAAUUUUUAUGUUUCGUUACAUUACCUCUCACUUUUUUAUUCCAGGCUUAAUAAGUUUCUCUUCACUAUCUAUCUCUUUCUCAAUUUUUCUAUCCCCAUUCAAUCAACUUUUUUCUCCAUAUUUAUUUACUAUUGGUCCCAAUCUCUCUUCUUCCGAUUCCUAUUUCCUUUACUAUUAAUAUAUAUCCCGCUCCUCUUCUUCAUUUUCAAUUAUUGACCACAAAAAAGAACAAAGUAGAUCAGUAACGUUAAACUUUUCAAAGACAUGAAGUAGGCCUAUAUUCACAGUAUAUAUUUACAUUGAAGUAUAUAAUAAAAGAAUUGCUUCAUCAUCAAA